rnacentral:rRNA from 1 species
UACGAAGGGGGGCUAGCGUUGCUCGGAAUGACUGGGCGUUAAAGGGCGCGUAGGCGGCUCAUACAGUCAGAUGUGAAAUUCCUGGGCUUAACCUGGGGGGCUGCAUUUGAUACGUGUGGGCUUGAGUGGGGGAAGAGGGUCGUGGAAUUCCCAGUUGUAGAGGUGAAAUUCGUUAGAUAUUGGGGAAGAAACACCGGGUGG